rnacentral:rRNA from 1 species
GACGAACGCUGGCGGCGUGCUUAAUACAUGCAAGUCGAACGGAAAGGCCCUGCUUUUGUGGGGUGCUCGAGUGGCGCACGGGUGAGUAACACGCGAGUAUCAUGCCCUUGACUUUGGGAUAACUUCAGGAAACUGGGGCUAAUACCGGAUAGGAGCUCCUGCUGCAUGGUGGGGGUUGGAAAGUUUCGGCGGUUGUGGAUGGACUCGCGGGUUAUCGGCUUGUUGGUGGGGUAGUGGUGUACGAAGGUUUUGAAGGGUAGCCGGCAUGGGAGGGGGGACGGCGACAUGGGUACUGAGGUAGGGACCAGUAUCGAACGGGAGGCAGCAGUGGGGAGUAUUGCGCAGUGGGCGCGAGCGUGAUGUAGCGGCCCCGCGUGCGUGAUAACGGCCUACGGGGUGUAAACCGCUUUCGCCUGUGACAAAGCGUGAGUGACGGUAAUGGGUAAAGAAGCACCGGCUAACUACGUG